rnacentral:rRNA from 1 species
UACGUAGGGACCAAGCGUUGUUCGGAUUUACUGGGCGUAAAGGGCGCGUAGGCGGCAAUUCAAGUCAUCUGUGAAAUCUCUGGGCUUAACCCAGAACGGCCAGGUGAUACUGCUUUGCUAGAGUGCGGAAGGGGCAAUCGGAAUUCUUGGUGUAGCGGUGAAAUGCGUAGAUAUCAAGCGGAACACCGGUGGCGAAGGCGGCCUUCUGGACGAUGACUGACGCUGAGACGCGAAAGCGUGGGGAGCAAACAGG